rnacentral:rRNA from 1 species
GACGAACGCUGGCGGCGUGCUUAACACAUGCAAGUCGUACGGUAAGGCCCUUUCGGGGGUACACGAGUGGCGAACGGGUGAGUAACACGUGAGUAACCUGCCCACAACUUUGGGAUAACGCUAGGGAACUGGUGCUAAUACUGGAUAUGUGCUCCUGCUGCAUGGUGGGGGUUGGAAAGCUCCGGCGGUUGUGGAUGGACUCGCGGCCUAUCAGCUUGUUGGUGGGGUAGUGGCCUACCAAGGCGGCGACGGGUAGCCGGCCUGAGAGGGUGACCGGCCACAUUGGGACUGAGAUACGGCCCAGACUCCUACGGGAGGCAGCGGUGGGGAAUAUUGCACAAUGGGCGCAAGCCUGAUGCAGCAACGCCGCGUGCGGGAUGACGGCCUUCGGGUUGUAAACCGCUUUCAGCAGGGACGAAGCUUUUUGUGACGGUACCUGCAGAAGAAGCACCGGCUAACUACGUG